UAGGGAAGGUAUAUUACGAGCUAGAAGAUCUACAAGGCCGCCUGAUCGGAAAUUUCCAUGCCAAAGAUAUUAAGCCAUAAGCGUAGACAACAAGCGGGAAUCUUCCUUGUGUUGUUCCACCCCAAGUUAGAUUUUAGUGGGGGGGAAAAUGUAAUGCGCUUGUUGUAACUUAACAACAAUCCAAAUGCCUAAAAGUAAACCUCAUUUAGUUAAGCUUGGAAUAACCGAAAAUACAAAACAAAAAACAAAAAGCUUGGUUAAGCUUAAAGUUUCUUAUCUAUUGAUAAUCAAUUAUCUACCUAGAAUUGAGCAUUUAAGUAUCGGUCUAAGCAUAGAAUAAGCAGCGGCCAACUUCUUUUCUCUUGUGGCUGCUAAGAUAAGCGCAUCGCUCGCGGUUAAACUCCAGUAUAUAUUUAACCCCCGGAAAAAAAAGACACGUGGUGGGGAAUUUCCACAUAAGUUUCCCAAAACUAAACGCAGAGGGAAGUGAGCAGCGCUCAGUGUAUUAAAAGUGAAUUACAUUUUUGCGGUGCCAAUUCAAGGUCGAAUUGGCACCCAGUAAGAACCCAUUUGUGUAUUGUUCUUACAUUGGAAAUAAGUUUAUAAUCCCCCAAGCAGCCAGUUUACCCUAAGAAGGGCUUCCAGCGCCACGCCGCGGGAUCUGAUGGAUUUAUUAUAAAUUAGUAUUCAUCGCUCAACCCGACAAAAGAUCUUUUGGACGUGGAAAUUAAACUCGAUGUAAGUGAAAAAAAAA